CAGUCGUGAGGAAGGUAGUGUAGUUAAUAGCUGCAUUAUUUGACGUUAGCGACAGAAGAAGCACCGGCUAACUCCGUGCCAGCAGCCGCGGUAAUACGGAGGGUGCGAGCGUUAAUCGGAAUUACUGGGCGUAAAGACGCAUGCAGGUGGUUUGUUAAGUCAGAUGUGAAAGACCCGGGGCGUCAACCUACGGAAUAGCAUUUAGUAAACUGGCAGACUAGAGUACUGUAGAGGGGGGUAGGAAUUUCAGGUGUAGCGGUGAAAUGCGUAGAGAUCUGAAGGAAUACCGGUGGCGAAGGCGGCCCCCUGGACAGAUACUGACACUCAGAUGCGAAAGCGUGGGGAGCAAACAGGAUUAGAUACCCUGGUAG
rnacentral:rRNA from 1 species